rnacentral:rRNA from 1 species
AACGAACGCUGGCGGCAUGCCUAACACAUGCAAGUCGAACGAAACCUUCGGGCCUUGUGGCGCAGGGCUGCGUGAGACGUGGGAACCUGCACUUAGGUUCCCUAUCACUCCCCGAAAGGUAUCCUAAUACAGCUUGAUGUCUUACGACCAAAGAUUUCUCGCCUUGGGAUGGGCGCGCGUUGGAUUAGCUAGUUGGUAGGGUAAUAGCCUGCCAAGGCGACGAUGCAUGGCUGGUCUGAGAGGAUGACCCACUACGCUGGAGCUGAGACACGGCCUAGACUCGUACGGGAGGGAGCAGUGGAGAACACUGGACAAGGGGCCAAAGCGUGAUCAAGCAGUGCGGGGUAAGUGAUGCAGGCCUUAGGGUUGUAAAGCUGUCUUACCCGAGAUGAUAAUGACAGUACCGGGAGAAUAAGCACCGGCUAACUACGUG